rnacentral:rRNA from 1 species
GAUGAACGCUGGCGGCGUGCCUAACACAUGCAAGUCGAACGGAACUAUUUUGGAAACUCCUUCGGGAGCGGAAUCUUUAGUUUAGUGGCGGACGGGUGAGUAACGCGUGAGCAAUCUGCCUUUAAGAGGGGGAUAACAGUCGGAAACGGCUGCUAAUACCGCAUAAAGCAUCAAAUUCGCAUGUUUUUGAUGCCAAAGGAGCAAUCCGCUUUUAGAUGAGCUCGCGUCUGAUUAGCUGGUUGGCGGGGUAACGGCCCACCAAGGCGACGAUCAGUAGCCGGACUGAGAGGUUGAACGGCCACAUUGGGACUGAGACACGGCCCAGACUCCUACGGGAGGCAGCAGUGGGGAAUAUUGCGCAAUGGGGGAAACCCUGACGCAGCAACGCCGCGUGAUUGAAGAAGGCCUUCGGGUUGUAAAGAUCUUUAAUCAGGGACGAAACAAAUGACGGUAC